AGCAGCCGCGGUAAUUCCAGCUCCAAUAGCGUAUAUUAAAGUUGUUGCAGUUAAAAAGCUCGUAGUUGAAUUUCGGGGUCAAUAAGUUGGUCAUGCCAAUGGUAUGCACUGGCUUUAUUGAUUCCUACCUCUUGACGAACUGUGAUGCCAUUAAUUUGGUGUUGCAAGGAAUCAGGACUGUUACCUUGAAAAAAUUAGAGUGUUUAAAGCAAGCUUACGCUUGAAUACAUUAGCAUGGAAUAAUGAAAUAGGACGUUUGAUCCUAUUUUGUUGGUUUCUAGGAUCGACGUAAUGAUUAAUAGGGAUAGUUGGGGGCAUUAGUAUUCAAUUGUCAGAGGUGAAAUUCUUGGAUUUAUUGAAGACUAACUACUGCGAAAGCAUUUGCCAAGGAUGUUUUCAUUAAUCAAGAACGAAAGUUAGGGGAUCGAAGACGAUCAGAUACCGUCGUAGUCUUAACCAUAAACUAUGCCGACUAGGGAUCGGAUGAUGUUAAUUUUUUAAUGACUCA
rnacentral:rRNA from 2 species